rnacentral:rRNA from 1 species
GAAGGGGGCUAGCGUUGCUCGGAAUCACUGGGCGUAAAGCGCACGUAGGCGGCUUUCUAAGUCAGGGGUGAAAUCCUGGAGCUCAACUCCAGAACUGCCUUUGAUACUGAAGAUCUUGAGUUCGGGAGAGGUGAGUGGAACUGCGAGUGUAGAGGUGAAAUUCGUAGAUAUUCGCAAGAACACCAGUGGCGAAGGCGGCUCACUGGCCCGAUACUGACGCUGAGGCACGAAAGCGUGGGGAGCAAACAGGAUUAGAUACCCCGGUAGUCCUGGCCCUAAACGAUGAAUGCUUGGUGUGGCGGGUAUCGAUCCCUGCCGUGCCGAAGCUAACGCAUUAAGCAUUCCGCCUGGGGAGUACGGUCGCAAGGCUG